UACGGAAGAGGCAAGCGUUAUCCGGAAUUACUGGGCGUAAAGAGUUGCGUAGGCGGCAUGGUAAGUCAGCAGUGAAAGCGUGGGGCUCAACCCCAUAUACAUUGUUGAAACUGCCAAGCUAGAGAAUGAGAGAGGUAUCUGGAAUUCCCAGUGUAGGAGUGAAAUCCGUAGAUAUUGGGAGGAACACCGAUGGCGUAGGCAGGGUACUGGCUCAUUUCUGACGCUAAGGCACGAAAGCGUGGGGAGCAAACGGG
rnacentral:rRNA from 1 species